rnacentral:lncRNA from 1 species
GUGUCCUUGUCUUCCUACGGUUUCAAGAGAAUACUUUAGAGACAGCGGCUCCAAAUGGCCUACUUGUCACUGAUUGAAGGAGAUGCUGACUUGAGAUAAAAACAGUUCCUAGGACCCUUCAAGGCCUCAACUAGAAAAGGCAAUUCUCUGUAAACACGUUGAGGGCAGAGGUUGUCUGUCUUAUCAUAGCUGUACCCCAGCACCUCACAGGAUGCCUGGAACAGACAAUUUUGGCUUUGUGAUGCAUCCCACAAUUACAAGAACUUCUUCACCGCCCUCUAGUGGUAAAGAUGAAGAUGUGACACUCAGAAUAACCAUUCGCCUUUCCUGCUGAUGUUGAACAUGGCCCCUUUUUUUCUGAUAACUCGCUGGACUUUAUAUAAUCCAAAAUUGUGAUUGCUCCAAAGUUGGCAGUUCAUCCUCACUUUACAGAUAAAGUUGACCUGUAGAACAGUGCUUCUCAAAUUGGCUGGCGAAGAACCAGUUUUUAAAAGAAUUUUAAUCUGCAAACCAAUCCAUUGUACAAUAAAAAUGAAUUAUUAAUACUGGACACAUUACAUUAAAAAACAAAGAUAUACAAAAUUGAACCAAAUUUUAUUAUCAUAUUCAACAGACAAAAUUGCAUUUCAAUAAAUAUAAUCAGAAUAAACAUAACGGGAAAAAUAAUUGCAAAAUCUGUACAUGUUUAUUGAAUGUGUGUAUUAUAUGAUUAAUAUAUAAAUUGCUAUUGCAUUUAUAAUUUUUGUUGUUCUGCAAUUAUAACUAAAUGAAAAAUUUUGAGUAAAAUAGUGUUUCUCUACUUUGAAUGAACACCAUGCAUAUAAAUAUUGAGCAUUCUUAAUGGACAAAUACACAAGUUAUGGCUUGC